CAGCUGCGAGACUUGGUGUGAAUUGCAGGACACAUUGAGCACUGAUUUUUCGAACGCGCAUUGCGGUCUCGGGUACUACCCGGGACCACGUCUGUCUGAGGGUCGGAUAAACGCUUGCAGAAGGAGGUCUCCUCCUGAUUGGUCGCUUCGGAAGCAAUUCCGUCGACCUAAGUCUUGCGUAGAUCUGUCGCCAGGAGGCGUCCCGCGUAGGACGCCCGGGAGCGGGAGUGACGGAAUCGUAGACUCCCCCGAGCCCGGGCCAGCGGUAGAUGCGAGGAGCGACGGACGAUACGGACAGAUCGACGAGAGUCCAACUCCGUCGUUAUAUGAUGUCGACCUCAGAUCAGGCGAGACGACCCGCUGAAUUUAA
rnacentral:misc_RNA from 1 species